GUUCCCGUAGCUCAGCUGGAUAGAGCGCCGCCCUCCUAAGGCGGGAGUCGGACGUUCAAAUCGUCUCGGGAACGCCA
rnacentral:tRNA from 1 species